rfam:Desulfitobacterium hafniense Y51 DNA, complete genome.
AAAUAAGAUUUAUCGUGAGGAGUCAGCAGAAGCCAUAGUACAGAGGUGAAAAGACACCAAAGGAAGGGC